GAACGCUGGCGGCGUGCCUAAUACAUGCAAGUCGAGCGAACAGAUAAGGAGCUUGCUCCUUUGACGUUAGCGGCGGACGGGUGAGUAACACGUGGGUAACCUACCUAUAAGACUGGGAUAACUUCGGGAAACCGGAGCUAAUACCGGAUAACAUUUGGAACCGCAUGGUUCUAAAGUGAAAGAUGGUUUUGCUAUCACUUAUAGAUGGACCCGCGCCGUAUUAGCUAGUUGGUAAGGUAACGGCUUACCAAGGCGACGAUACGUAGCCGACCUGAGAGGGUGAUCGGCCACACUGGAACUGAGACACGGUCCAGACUCCUACGGGAGGCAGCAGUAGGGAAUCUUCCGCAAUGGGCGAAAGCCUGACGGAGCAACGCCGCGUGAGUGAUGAAGGGUUUCGGCUCGUAAAACUCUGUUAUUAGGGAAGAACAAACGUGUAAGUAACUGUGCACGUCUUGACGGUACCUAAUCAGAAAGCCACGGCUAACUACGUGCCAGCAGCCGCGGUAAUACGUAGGUGGCAAGCGUUAUCCGGAAUUAUUGGGCGUAAAGCGCGCGUAGGCGGUUUCUUAAGUCUGAUGUGAAAGCCCACGGCUCAACCGUGGAGGGUCAUUGGAAACUGGGAAACUUGAGUGCAGAAGAGGAAAGUGGAAUUCCAUGUGUAGCGGUGAAAUGCGCAGAGAUAUGGAGGAACACCAGUGGCGAAGGCGACUUUCUGGUCUGUAACUGACGCUGAUGUGCGAAAGCGUGGGGAUCAAACAGGAUUAGAUACCCUGGUAGUCCACGCCGUAAA
rnacentral:rRNA from 1 species